rnacentral:rRNA from 1 species
AANCACAUUCGACGGCUCCCCCACAAGGGUUAGGCCACCGGCUUCGGGUGUUACCAACUUUCGUGACUUGACGGGCGGUGUGUACAAGGCCCGGGAACGUAUUCACCGCAGCGUUGCUGAUCUGCGAUUACUAGCGACUCCGACUUCACGUGGUCGAGUUGCAGACCACGAUCCGAACUGAGACCAGCUUUUUGGGAUUAGCUCCACCUCGCGGCAUCGCAACCCAUUGUACUGGCCAUUGUAGCAUGCGUGAAGCCCAAGACAUAAGGGGCAUGAUGAUUUGACGUCAUCCCCACCUUCCUCCGAGUUGACCCCGGCAGUCUCCUAUGAGUCCCCACCAUCACGUGCUGGCAACAUAGAACGAGGGUUGCGCUCGUUGCGGGACUUAACCCAACAUCUCACGACACGAGCUGACGACAACCAUGCACCACCUGUACACCAGCCCCACAAGGGGGAAAGACCAUCUCUGGCCCGGUCCGGUGUAUGUCAAGCCUUGGUAAGGUUCUUCGCGUUGCAUCGAAUUAAUCCGCAUGCUCCGCCGCUUGUGCGGGCCCCCGUCAAUUCCUUUGAGUUUUAGCCUUGCGGCCGUACUCCCCAGGCGGGGCACUUAAUGCGUUAGCUACGGCGCGGAAAACGUGGAAUGUUCCCCACACCUAGUGCCCAACGUUUACGGCAUGGACUACCAGGGUAUCUAAUCCUGUUCGCUCCCCAUGCUUUCGCUCCUCAGCGUCAGUAACAGCCCAGAGACCUGCCUUCGCCAUCGGUGUUCCUCCUGAUAUCUGCGCAUUUCACCGCUACACCAGGAAUUCCAGUCUCCCCUACUGCACUCAAGUCUGCCCGUACCCACUGCACACCCGGGGUUAAGCCCCGGGCUUUCACAGCAGACGCGACAAACCGCCUACGAGCUCUUUACGCCCAAUAAUUCCGGACAACGCUUGCGCCCUACGUAUUACCGCGGCUGCUGGCACGUAGUUAGCCGGCGCUUCUUCUGCACGUACCGUCACUUUCGCUUCUUCCGUGCUGAAAGAGGUUUACAACCCGAAGGCCGUCAUCCCUCAAGCGGGGUCGCUGCAUCAGGCUUUCGCCCAUUGUGCAAUAUUCCCCACUGCUGCCUCCCGUAGGAAUCUGGGCCGUGUCUCAGUCCCAGUGUGGCCGGUCACCCUCUAAGGCGGGUACCCGUCGUCCCCUUGGUGA